UUGUCGUUUAGAGAAGUUUGAUAGCUGUGUUCUGCUUUUCUCUAGGUGGUUGAGUAUGAUGGUUUUGUAAAGUACCUUUGUUGUUCAUGGGGCAUAUCACAUGGAUUUAGCUUUAAUGUGAGCCAUCUCAACAUGGCAUUGUGCUUUCUAUGUGCAGGAACUUGGUACAGAUAUGAACCUUUAUGUGUUGGUGUUUGGAGAAUUUGUUCUAAAUGAUGCAGUAUGCGUUUAUACCUCCCAUCUUCAAAGUCUUUAAUAUUUCUAUCCUUUUUUUUUGCCUAUCUUUUGGAAGUUUUCAUUUGAUGAUGGUAUUUGUUAAGUGAUGCAGUGAAGAGAAAAUGAGAAGGCUACCUGUGGGGGCCAGAAGUUAACAUACACCCAGCAGUUUCCUCCUGAGUUGGAGCAGGUGGAAGAUGGUGGAUGUUGGCAACAGGAAUGCCCUCCUAAUAACUAAUUUAAGGAUGAGUUGCUACGCUACCAAAGAGCAUGAAGACAUUGGGAUAUGAAAUAAUUAACGAAGGUAAUGAAAACAUUUUACUUUCGAACUUUGCCUGCUAUUUAUUCUGCUUACAAUAAUUGUACCUUGCAUUAGGCAACAAAUAGGCCAAAUUAGUCUGUGGGCUUCGGCUCCUGACCUGAA